GCAUCUGUGGUGCAAUGGCAUAGCAUCUUGCCCAGUGUGCAGAUGGUGUGGGUUCGAGUCCCACAUGAUGCU
rnacentral:tRNA from 1 species